AAGCCUGCUAUACUGUCUGUGUACUUGUGAAAUCCCUUACAUGAUCAUAAAUUUCCUGUAAAAAUUUAUAACUCAUCUCUGUACCAAGGCUUAACCUGUGCAUACUCUAUCUCUGUGCUGUAAAACCCCUACUAGGGCUCUCAUCUUUGCUCUAGGCGGGUCAACUCAUAUAAUGUUAAGCCUGAUUCUCAAACAGAUUAAUAAAACAUGUACAUAAAAGAUCAUGUAUAUACAAAAAGGGAUUACAACUCUUAUAGAUC
rnacentral:lncRNA from 1 species